rnacentral:rRNA from 1 species
ACGCACGCUGGCGGCGUGCCUAAUCCAUGCAAGUUGAGCGCUGAAGGUUGGUACUUGUACCAACUGGAUGAGCAGCGAACGGGUGAGUAACGCGUGGGGAAUCUGCCUUUGGGCGGGGGACAACAUUUGGAAACGAAUGCUAAUACCGCAUAAAAACUUUAAACACAAGUUUUAAGUUUGAAAGAUGCAAUUGCAUCACUCAAAGAUGAUCCCGCGUUGUAUUAGCUAGUUGGUGAGGUAAAGGCUCACCAAGGCGAUGAUACAUAGCCGACCUGAGAGGGUGAUCGGCCACAUUGGGACUGAGACACGGCCCAAACUCCUACGGGAGGCAGCAGUAGGGAAUCUUCGGCAAUGGACGAAAGUCUGACCGAGCAACGCCGCGUGAGUGAAGAAGGUUUUCGGAUCGUAAAACUCUGUUGGUAGAGAAGAACGUUGGUGAGAGUGGAAAGCUCAUCAAGUGACGGUAACUACCCAGAAAGGGACGGCUAACUACGUG